AGUUAUAUAGUUUAAAUUAAAACAUUAAUUUUGUAAAUUAAAAUUAAAUAUAAAUUUUAUAACUU
rnacentral:tRNA from 1 species